ensembl:lncRNA novel transcript, antisense to MYO9A
AGAGCUUCCAGAUAGCCGAACAUAUGGGUGCUCCUGGAAGGUAGAGUGCCCAGGAAGGACAUGGAGACUCUCUACUCCUUCCCCCAUACCUUGCCCUACACAUCUCUUCAUUGGCACGGUGGCUCACGCCUGUAAUCGCAGCACUUUGGGAGACCAAAGCAGAUGAAUCACCUGAGGUCAAGAGUUCAAGACCAGCCUGGCCAACACGAAAGAAGCUCUCACAGUGGAAGACUAUAAUAUGACAUAAGAAGAAAUGUGGACUUGGAGAUACAGAAGCUCCACACUGAAGAGAAAAACCAACAUCCUACAAUGAUGGGGUUUUUUUUAAAGACACCCAAGAAGCCACCUGAAGAAUCAGAACAGGGAUGGAACUCAUCCAAACUCCACUUCCCCGAGAAAAUCAUCACAAUUUGACUUAUCUGGCAUUUCCCUGGAAAAACUCACACAAAGGGUCCUGGGAGAUGCACAGCUAAGAAGCCAGGACAUCCUGGAAGCUGGGAAAUAACCCUGAACCUGCAGCAGCAAUCUGGUCUCUCCAUCACCCUAGGCUUGUGGACCACAAAUCACAACCUCAUCCACUGCAUGGACACAGGAAUAUGUCAGAACAUAGCCCUGCCUGGGCCAUCAAGCUCCAAAUAGUCAUCCAACUAGGAGCCUCGGACAACGGCCACUUUUGCUGGGAGCCCGUAGAUAGGCCUCUAGGAAGAUCUGACUGCUGUUUUUCCAAAACAGUGCCCCGUCAGCAGGAGGCAGUUAAAAUUGGUCUUCAUCCUCAUCCUUA